rfam:Myotis brandtii contig239562, whole genome shotgun sequence.
GGUGGUUCUCAGGUGACGCACCCUGGAAUCGGGCUCCCUCCUCUCUCUUUCCGGAGUGUGUCACCCAAGAACCACA